UACGAAGGGGGCUAGCGUUGUUCGGAAUUAUUGGGCGUAAAGAGCUCGUAGGCGGUUUGUCGCGUCUGCUGUGAAAACCUAAGGCUCAACCUUGGGCUUGCAGUGGGUACGGGCAGACUAGAGUGAUGUAGGGGAGACUGGAAUUCCUGGUGUAGCGGUGAAAUGCGCAGAUAUCAGGAGGAACACCGAUGGCGAAGGCAGGUCUCUGGGCAUUAACUGACGCUGAGGAGCGGAAAGCAUGGGAGCGAACAGG
rnacentral:rRNA from 1 species